AGGCUAUUUAAAAAGCAAAAAUCUAAGUGUUCUCUUUAAUAAGGAAGGAAAAAGUUUGACUAGCUGGUCCUAAUAACCUUUAUAGCACAUAUACAGUUAAAACAUUGCCACCUUUUCUAUGCCAUCCAACUUUCUAUUUUU
ensembl:snRNA